UCAUGAAUAAAGAGUGAGGUGUACUGU
rnacentral:sRNA from 1 species